AUUUGAUGAUGUUGGCAUUGUAUUUGUAACUCCCCGAAUCUUUCCCAAGCUUCAAAGAAUUCUUCCGUAUGUUUUUGUCUAAAUGUUUGGAUCUUGUUUCUUAACU
rnacentral:snoRNA from 1 species